rnacentral:rRNA from 1 species
GAUGAACGCUGGCGGCGUGCCUAAUACAUGCAAGUCGAGCGAACAGACGAGGAGCUUGCUCCUCUGACGUUAGCGGCGGACGGGUGAGUAACACGUGGAUAACCUACCUAUAAGACUGGGAUAACUUCGGGAAACCGGAGCUAAUACCGGAUAAUAUAUUGAACCGCAUGGUUCAAUAGUGAAAGACGGUUUUGCUGUCACUUAUAGAUGGAUCCGCGCCGCAUUAGCUAGUUGGUAAGGUAACGGCUUACCAAGGCGACGAUGCGUAGCCGACCUGAGAGGGUGAUCGCCCACACUGGAACUGAGACACGGUCCAGACUCCUACGGGAGGCAGCAGUAGGGAAUCUUCCGCAAAGGGCGAAAGCCUGACGGAGCAACGCCGCGUGAGUGAUGAAGGUCUUCGGAUCGUAAAACUCUGUUAUUAGGGAAGAACAAAUGUGUAAGUAACUAUGCACGUCUUGACGGUACCUAAUCAGAAAGCCACGGCUAACUACGUG